rnacentral:lncRNA from 1 species
GGAAAAAAUAAAUGACUGACUUCUGAAGUGUGUCUGGGCUGAUUCUAAAUGACAACAGUGCCACCAGCUUUGUCAAGAACUUAGUAGAAAAAAGAACCUCACUGAGUGAGUUGUAGUUUCAGUGUGUGUGUGUUUUAGACACCACUUCUCACCAUGGCUCUGACAGGCUUUUCAUCCAUCAGUUCCUCCUCUUCCUCGUACUGCUCAUCAGCCCGCUACAGCAGUUCCAGCACGUACUGGUCAGAGGGGUCUGGUGGUGGGGCGGCGGACCCCCGUUUGAGCCCUUCAUGGAGGCAGCAGUGAUGGGACCUUCAAAGCCUGUUUGGAGAGGAGGGGGAUGUAUACCCCCUGUCUGGCCCCCCUUCAACGGACACCCAGGCCCAACAAGUGGCACUAUGACAGGUCGUCCUGCCAGUAUGGGUGUGGUCAGAUCAUUGGGGGUAGUUACUACAUGUCAGCUGACGUCAGUCAGUUUGAACCACAGGACAUUGUGGUGAUGGACUACAACCACAACAUAGUCAUCCACGCUGAAAAGGUGUUGGAGAAUGGGAGUGUCAGUGAUACGUUUACCCAUAAGACCCUGCUCUUGGAGCACAUGGACCCCCUGUCGGUCAGUGGCACGCUGACCCGAGGGCAUGCUGGUGGCCAGAGUCAGGAGGACGUCCAGUAUGGAGCUUCUCGCUCUUUGGAGCACGCGCACACGUACAUGCACACAGAGUAUCAGACCGGUCUGAGUAAGUCACACCGAGUUUAGUUUGCUCAGGGAAACUUUCUUCAUAGAGCCGUCUGCACUUUUUUAGCAGCAAUUUAAUCUAUCUGCCUGUCUGAAUAUGAGUCACAGUUAAAAUAUCCCCCCCUUGUAUCCUUCUCACUCUCUGUCGAGCUGGGGAGGAGGACUUUUACUGUGACACCUUAGUGUAUUAUUAAUCAAUAUGAAGUCCACAUUGCCUGGGACAGGAGACGAAACUCAGUGGUUGUGUUGAGAACGUGUACAGCAGUUCAAGCAAGGAAUGGCACCGGCACCACCAACUCCAUCAAUGACUAGCACCUCCACCUCCAUCAAGGACUAGCAACGGCACCACCACCUCCAGCAAGGACUAGCACCACCACCUCCAUCAAGGACUAGGACCACCACCUCCAUCAAGGACUAGCAACGGCACCUCCAUCAAGGACUAGCACCACCACCUCCAUCAAGGACUAGCACCACCAACUCCAUCAAUGACUAGCACCACCACCUCCAUCAAGGACUAGCAACGGCACCACCACCUCCAGAAAGGACUAGGACCACCACCUCUAUCAAGGACUAGCAAUGGCACCACCACCUCCAGCAAGGACUAGCAUCUCCGGCACCACAACCUCCAUCAAGGACUAGCACCACCACCUCCAUCAAGGACUAGCACCACCACCUCCAUCAAGGACUAGCACCGGCACCACAACCUCCAUCAAGGACUAGCACCACAACCUCCAUCAAGGACUAGCAUCGGCACCUCCAAGGACUAGCAGCUCCGGCACCACCACCACCAUCAAGGACUAGCACCACCACCUGCAUCAAGGACUAGGACCACCACCUCCAUCAAGGACUAGGACCACCACCUGCAUCAAGGACUAGCACCACCACCUCCAUCAAGGACUAGCACCACCACCUGCAUCAAGGACUAGCACCACCACCUCCAUCAAGAACUAGCACCACCACCUCCAUCAAAGACUAGCACCACCACCUCCAUCAUGGACUAGCACCGGCACCUCCAUCAAGGACUAGCAGCUCCGGCACCACCACCUCCAUCAAGGACUAGCACCACCACCUCCAUCAUGGACUAGCACCGGCACCUCCAUCAAGGACUAGCACCGGCACCUCCAUCAAGGACUAGCAUCGGCACCUCCAUCAAGGACUAGCAGCUCCGGCACCACCACCUCCAUCAAGGACUAGCACCACCACCUCCAUCAAGGACUAGCACCGGCACCUCCAUCAAGGAUUAGCACCACCACCUCCAUCAAGGACUAGCACCGGCACCACAAACUCCAUCAAGGACUAGCACCACCACCUCCAUCAAGGACUAGCACCACCACCUCCAUCAAGGACUAGCACCACCACCUCCAUCAAGGACUAGCACCGGCACCACCACCUCCAGCAAGGACUAGGACCACCACCUCCAUCAAGGACUAUCACCGGCACCACCACCUCCAGCAAGGACUAGCACCACCACCUCCAUCAAGGACUAGCACCGCCACCUCCAUCAAGGACUAGCACCACCACCUCCAUCAAGGACUAGCACCGCCACCUCCAUCAAGGACUAGCACCACCACCUCCAUCAAGGACUAGCACCACCACCUCCAAGGACUAGCAGCUCCGGCACCACAACCUCCAUCAAGGAUCAGUGGUGUAAAGUACUUAAGACUAGCACCAGCUAGCACCGGCACCACCACCUCCAUCAAGGACUAGCACCCGCUAGCACCGGCACUACCAUCUCCAUCAAGGACUAGCUCCGGCACCUCCAUCAAGGACUAGCACCGGCACCACCACCUCCAUCAAGGACUAGCUCCGGCACCUCCAUCAAGGACUAGCACCGGCACCACCACCUCCAUCAAGGACUAGUCCCGGCACCUCCAUCAAGGACUAGCACCGGCACCACCACCUCCAUCAAGGACUCGCUCCGGCACCUCCAUCAAUGACUAGCAUUGGCACUAACACCUCCAUCAAACAAUACAAACUGC